UACGGGGGGGGUAAGCGUUGUUCGGAAUUACUGGGCGUAAAGGGCUCGUAGGCGGCCAACUAAGUCGGACGUGAAAUCCCUCAGCUUAACUGGGGAACUGCGUCCGAUACUGGAUGGCUUGGAUUUGGGAGAGGGAUGCGGAAUUCCAGGUGUAGCGGUGAAAUGCGUAGAUAUCUGGAGGAACACCGGUGGCGAAGGCGGCCUUCUGGACAGCAACUGACGCUGAGACGCGAAAGCGUGGGGAGCAAACAGG
rnacentral:rRNA from 1 species